rnacentral:rRNA from 1 species
GAUGAACGCUGGCGGCGUGCCUAAUACAUGCAAGUCGAGCGAACAGACGAGGAUCUUGCUCCUCUGACGUUAGCGGCGGACGGGAGAGUAACACGUGUAUAACCUACCUAUAAUACUGGUAUAACUUCGGGAAACCGGAUCUAAUACCGUAUAAUAUAUUGAACCGCAUUGUUCAAUAGUGAAAUACGGUUUUUCGGUCACUUAUAGAUGGAUCCGCGCCGCAUUAGCUAGUUGUUAAGUUAAAGGCUUACCAAGGCAACGAUGCGUAGCCGAAGUGAGAGGGUGAUCGGCCACACUGGAACUGAGACACGGUCAAGACUCCUACGGGACGCAGCAGUAGGGAAUCUUACGCAAUGGGCGGAAGCUUGACGGAGCAACGCCGCGUGAGUGAUGAAGGUCUUCGGAUCGUAAAACUCUGUUAUUAGGGAAGAACAAAUGUGUAAGUAACUAUGCACGUAUUGACGGUAACUAAUAAGAAAGCAACGGCUAACUACGUG